UUGACUCGAAAAUGAUAAUCGUUAUUAUUCGCACAACUGAUCGCGAGAUCAGUCGGUAAGCUGGGAAUCCAAGCAGUCGGACUUUCAGAUUAUCUCCUCAUCAGGCUAAUCACGGUUUUAGACCCGGCUCUUUGCCGGGUCUUUUUUUG
rnacentral:sRNA from 1 species